AAAUCAGUUUCGAUUUAUAGAUGUGUGAUUGAUAAAUCAUUUUUGAUUCAGUUUGUUCAUCAUUUUUAUUAGGAUUUUUAGGUCUUCAAAAAUCGAUUUUAGGGUUUCAGUCUAUUAUGAUUCAUUUUUUCGAUUUUAGUUUGUUCGCCUGAGUUCGAACUUUGAAGAACUGAUCUUCACUCUCAGCUAAUCGUGAGAAAGCAUCUGUUCUACUUUGUUUAAUUUAGAUUUGUUUUCAGAUGCAGAUGGGAAUGAAGUUGAUAAGGUGAUUGAGAAGCUAUAAGGGGUUGGGAUUGCUUCUGGUAGUGCUGAUGGUGCUGUUCUAACUACUUCUAAGUUCAGGUUAAAAAGUAGAGGGAGUGGUCAGUUUUGUGUGUAUGAUGCAGUUGGAAGGAGCUUGAUUGAGUCAUAAAUCAGGUGAUACUGAGAUUAGCAGAAGGAGAAGCUUGCUAGUAAUGUAAGAUAAAGUGUGUAUGUUGAUGUUGCAGUUGAGAUUUGUUGAUGUGUAGAGUGUAUGGAUGAAAUAUUACACCAAGAUCUUGCUCAAGAUGAGCUUAACACUGUCUUAGCUGUUGUUGUUCAGGGAGAGAUGAACCAAAGUAAUUUAAUUUUUCCACUUGUGCAAGACGUGUACCAAGUUAAUGAGUUCGAGGAGCUGCCAUGUCAGGGUCAAACAAAGUAUCAAUCUUAUUUUGUUCUUACCGGGGAAAAGAACUCGCGCAUCAACUUUUGUUAUUUCUCCAAGAAGCCUACCUACUACCAGCUAAUGGAGGUGCUGUUGAAUUCAAGGUCACAGGCGUGGUCUCGUUUGCUAAAAUUGCAGGCGACGACGGUGUUUGUUAUGGUGGCUGUGCCGAUUGAUUUUUAGACUUGAAUGACGACGAGGUCGAGCUUUGGUUCGAACUGUCAAAGCUACACCACUACCUAGCUGUUGCUUCUAUCUAAGUCAUGACAGUGGAGCAUUUCCUUAGCAUUUUAUAACAGCAACAUCGAUGAUCAGGGGUUCGUUUAUAUGGACUGCAUUUGGCAGAAAUUGAUUGAGCUGGAUUGGUUUCAAGAGUAAAUCAGUUGGGAGGAACGGAGGUUGAAAGUAAGUGGAGAAAGAGCUGACAUUGCUGGUAUUCGGAGAGAGUUGAGGCAUGGAAUUGGAGAGUGAAGUAAACAAUGAAACAGUCAGAUUUGGGGUGUGUGUUUCAGAUACCAAGACGAAGAUGCAUUGAGGCUGUUGCCACUUGCAGAGCAAGUAACUCAGAGAAGAGCUGAUUGUAAACUGAAUCAAAACGGAGGUUGAAAGUAAGUGGAGAAAGAGCUGACGUUGCUGGUAUUCGGAGAGAGUUGAGGCAUGGAAUUGGAGAGUGAAGUAAACAAUGAAACAGUCAGAUUUGGGGUGUGUGUUUCAGAUACCAAGACGAAGAUGCAUUGAGGCUGUUGCCACUUGCAGAGCAAGUAACUCAGAGAAGAGCUGAUUGUAAACUGAAUCAAAACGGAGGCUAUUGAACUUGGACAGGAUAAUGCUAUUGCUAAAAGAGGUCGAGGUUGUCCACCAAACCCAACUACAGUUGAUAAGGACAAUGCUAUUGCUGAAAGAGGUCGAGGUCGUCCACCAAAAAAUAAUUCAGGAAGAACGGGGAGGCCCCCGACUAACACUGAUAAGGUUUACUCAGAGUACUAUAAGAUUUUAGAGAAGUCCGAUUAUCUAACGGGAGAGACUGUUCGUGACAAAUGGUUAGGGAAGCUUCUUCAAUGUAUUGAAUAUGUUUGUGAUUCCAAGGAUGUGGGAAAGAUGAACACAAAGAAAAAUGUGGCUCUUUAUCACUUGAGAGAAGGUAGGCAGUAAACAUGCCUUUCAUAUUUUUGGUGUAUGUUUAACAUAUUGAUAAGCUUUGACUCAUAGAUGUGAUGUGAUUGAAAUUUAUAGCUUAUAUUGACAUGGAUGUAUAUGUGUAUGGGCUCCCUAACCAGUUUUUUGUCACCAUCUGCAUAACCACUUCACCUGCAUACAUUUUCAAGGGUUUGGCUCUGUUGUUGGUAUUAGAGAAUGGUGUUAGUGGAUGGUUAGAUGAGACUGAAACGGUGUUGCAUCUACAUAUGGGUGCAAAUGAACUGAAGUUGGUGGUUAAUAUGAUGAAGUUGAUGUUGCAAGUGGUGGCUGAGUCAGGUGGUGCUGAGUAUGGUUGUGAGCUGCAGGUGUUAGCCAUUGUUGACAUUGAUGGAGGAGAUGUUGAUAAUCAGUUGGCAGCUGUGGAGUACGUCGAGGAUUUGUACAAAUAGUACUAGAUUACAGAGAUCGACCUCGGUCUCUAAACCUGGCGGAUCUGAAAUUUGCACAUACACUAGUCAGGUGACAAGACUUUACAAAGACAAGGAACAUGCUGAUGUUGAGUUCACUGUGCUAGAUUAUAGAGAAGUCUGGUCCCUCUCAGUUACUCAGCCAAAGCUGGAAAUUAUUACAGAGAUAAAAGGGUUUUGAUUCAGAGGUGCAAACUCUGUUCUGUCAUGAUGCUGUGAACAACCAGCUUCUACAAGUACCAGCUCACUUCCUCUAGGUGCUGAGACGUAUUAUUAGAGCAGGUUAGGCGAAGUGUUGCAGAUUUGAGAGCGAGAGACUAAGCAAGAG